AUUGAACGCUGGCGGAAUGCUUUACACAUGCAAGUCGAACGGCAGCACGGGUGCUUGCACCUGGUGGCGAGUGGCGAACGGGUGAGUAAUGCACCGGAACGUAUCCAAUAAUGGGGGAUAACGCACCGAAAGGUGUGCUAAUACCGCAUACGCCCUGAGGGGGAAAGCGGGGGAUCGUAAGACCUCGCGUUAAUGGAGCGGCCGAUGCCGGAUUAGCUAGUUGGUGAGGUAAAGGCUCACCAAGGCGACGAUCCGUAGCUGGUCUGAGAGGACGACCAGCCACACUGGAACUGAGACACGGUCCAGACUCCUACGGGAGGCAGCAGUGGGAAUUUUGGACAAUGGCGCAAGCCUGAUCCAGCCAUUCCGCGUGAGUGAAGAAGGCC
rnacentral:rRNA from 1 species